CAGGUGUGUUUGGUGUUGAUGCAGAUGAAGUGAAGUCAGUCCCGUCACAAACCGCACACAACAUCGACACUUCAAUGAUGCCUGUCAGCCGUGUUCAGAUGAAACGCUGAGAGAUGAGAAGAACGUGUCAGAAUACACAGAGGUCAUCUACAGACUUCACACGAGAGAUCCGUCACAGGCAUCAUAUGAGCAUAUGGACAGACAGAACCAUGGUCAACUCACAACACAGUGAAAGUCAAGAUUAACAGGUUGCUAGCGCAUCGCUCUACCAGCUACAGGAACACUGCACUCAUGUGAAACUCCGUUUGAAGGCGCAGAAACCCCAUCGCCAUCAUGUGCCUGUAAGAAAACACGAAACCAGUCACAAAGAGGAACAGGAAAGUAACUGGUAAUGACAGCGAAUGCUGCGAGAAUGAAGACCACCGCUGCUACUACAAUGAUGAUCACUGCAAUAGUGGUUAUACCAAUCCUGACAGGCCCACCUACACGUCAUGGAGCAAGAAGAUUUGUGUAAGUAAAUGCAAAUCUAAUACAGUUUAUGGUCACAUGGUUACAACAACACACUUUCUGAGCUCUCUGAUGAUGCAUUUUGUGAGGCGUUUCUGCCGAUGACAGGAACAGGCAGACGAGCUGGAAAACAUGAAAAAGAAAGUGAAGUAUUAAUGUUUUAGAUACAAUUUAUAUGUUGCAUGAACAUUCACAAAUUACUUGAACAUUCACUUAUGUUUAAAAGGCCAUCAGUGUAAAA